AUUGAACGCUGUCGGCAGGCCUAACACAUGCAAGUCGAACGAGUGGCGGACGGGUGAGUAAUGUCUGGGAAACUGCCUGAUGGAGGGGGAUAACUACUGUAAACGGUAGCUAAUACCGCAUACCAUCAGAUGUGCCCAGAUGGGAUUAGCUUGUUGGUGGGGUAACGGCUCACCAAGGCGACGAUCCCUAGCUGGUCUGCGAGGAUGACCAGCCACGCUGGAACGGGGACACGGUCCAGAAGCCUACGGGAGGCAGCAGUGGGGAAUAUGGGACAAUGGGCGCAAGCCUGAUGCAGCCAUGCCGCGUGUAUGAAGAAGGCCUUCGGGUUGUAAAGUACUUUCAGCGGGGAGGCGUUACCCGCAGAAGAAGCACCGGCUAACUCCGUGCCAGCAGCCGCGGUAAUUC
rnacentral:rRNA from 1 species